rfam:Solanum lycopersicum unplaced genomic scaffold SL2.40sc04923, whole genome shotgun sequence.
CUCGCUGAGUUUAAGCAUAUCAAUAAGCGGAGGAAAAGAAACUUACAAGGAUUCCCCUAAUAACAGCGAGCAAACCGGGAACAACCCAGCCUUAGAAUUGGGCGUCUCUGUCGUCCGAAUUGUUGUUUGGAGAAGCGUUAUCAGCGGUGGAUCGGGCCCAAGUCCCCUGGAAGGGGGCGCCGGACAGGGUGAGAUCCCUAUCGUUACCGGACCAUAUCGCACCACGAGGCUCUGUGUACGAGUUGGGUUGGUUGGAAAUGCAGCCCAAAACGGGGGGUAAAUUCCGUCCAAUACUAAAUACUUGCGAGAGAACGAUAGCGAACAACUACCGCAAGGCAAAGAUGAAAAGGAAUUUGAAAAGAGAGUCAAAGAGUGCUUGAAAUUAUCCGGAGAGAAGCGGAUGGGGGAUGGCGAUGCGCCUCGAUCGAAUGUGGAAAGGUGACGAGCUGGUCCGCCGAUCAACUCGGGGCGUGGACCAACGUGGAUUGGUGGGGAGGCCAAAUCCCGAGCUCUCAAUACGACCAUGGAACCCCGUCUCCCCGAUUGUGGAAGGAAGCGCCGCCUCCGGCGUGCUUCGGCAUCUGCGCGCUCCAGACGUUGGCUUGUGGGCUCCCCAUUCGACCCUUCUUGAAACACGGACCAAGGAAUCUCACAUGUGUGCGAGUCAACGGUCGAUUAAACCCGUAAGGCGUAAGGAAGCUGAUUGGUGGGAUCCCCCUGAGGGGUGCACCGCCGGCCGACCUUGAUCUUUUGAGAAGGGUUCGAGUGUGAGCAUACCUGUCGGGACCCGAAAGAUGGUGAACUAUGCCUGAGCGGGGUGAAGCCAGAGGAAACUCUGGUGGAGGCCCGUAGUGAUACUGACGUGCAUAUCGAUCGUCUGACUUGAGUAUUGGGGCGAAAGACUAAUCGAACCGUCUAGUAGCUGGUUCCAUCCGAAGUUUCUCUGAGUAUAGCUGGAGCUCGCGUGCGAGUUCUAUCGGAUAAAGCCAAUGAUUAGAGGCCUCGGUGGCGCAACGCCCUCGACCUAUUCUCAAACUUUGAAUAGGUAGGAUAGUGCGACUGCUUUGUUGAGCCACACCACGGAAUAGAGAGCUCCAAGUGGGCCAUUUUUGGUAAGUAGAACUAGCGAUGCAGGAUGAAUCGGAAGCCGGGUUACAGUGCCAAACUGCGCGCUAACCUAGAUCCCACAAAGGGUGUUGGUAAAUUAAGACAGGAGGACGGUGGUAAUGGAAGUCAAAAUCCGCUAAAGAGUGUGUAACAACUCGCCUGCCAAAUCAACUAGCCCCGAAAAUGGAUGGAUCUUAAGCGCGCGAUCUACACCCGGUCGUUAGGGCAAGUGCCUGGCCUCGAUGAGUAAGAGGGCGCGGUUGGUCGGCCAUCGUCGGGCGUGGCAUGCCAUCAUAGCCCUUGAACGGCAUGCACGGUCAGACGACAUCGGGCGUGGCAUGCCAUCAUCGCCUUUGGACUAGCUGACACGGUCGGACAACAUCGAGCGUCGCAUGCCAUCAUCGCCUUUGGACUAGAUGAAACGGUCGGGCAACGUCGGGCGUGGCAUGCCAUCUUCGCCCUUGGGCAGCACAGAUGGUAAGACGACGUCGGGCGUGGCAUGCCAUCAUCGCCCUUGGACAGCACAGACGGCCGGCUGUCGUCGGGCGUGGAAUGCCAUCAUAGCCCUUGGAAAGCACAAACGGUCGUCCGUCGGCGGACCUGCUUGCACACAGUGGUCAGCCGUGGCCUGCCCGCAUCGGUCUUGGCUUGCGCGACAUUGUUCGAGUUCUAGACGAUAGAUGCAGAUGUUCAUGCCGUACAUAAAUCAAAGGAUUUUGAAACAACCUCCAGGAAAAACAAACAUAUUCAUCGACUUUCCAUUAUCUAUUCUCUAAUGUUUCCACCAAACGUGGCUCUUUCGCAGCAUUUUUAUUACUUUUACAGUUCGUACGAUAUUGAAACAUCUUUUAUUUGUGCAAAUAUAUAUUUUAUCAUUAAUUUGACAUGUUUAGAAGUGUUUUCGAUCAUUUCUGUAUUUUUUCCGACUUUUAAUCAUUAUUUUAUAAUUUAUUCUUACGUUUUUUAAUUUUUUACGUCUCCUUUUAAAAAUUAAAAUUUAUUAAAUUUUUUAUUUUAAGGUUCCCAUAUUUAUUUGUGAAUUUUUGGAGUUGAUUUCAUAUUUUUUCUGAUAUUUUCCCUAUUUUUAUUAAUUUAUUACUAAUUUUUUGGAAUUUUCAAAAAAUAAAAUUAAAAAAAUGAUGAAAAAUGUUUUUUUAUAUAUAUUGAAGUUAUUUAUGAAAGCUAAUGUGUGUUUGUACCUUUGAAAGUGCAUAUUUGGGUUGUACAUUUCUAUUAUGAUUCUCUGGAAAAUCCUUGUCUACUCCUGUCACAUGGGUAAACUUUUUUUAAGCAUAUAUAAGGGGGGUAGAGGUGUUGGAGGCAAACUGAGGCGCAGGCAGGCAGACGACAUAGGUGUCCUUUGGGCUUAGUAGGCAUGCUGCGUGGGCGCUUGAUGGCAUGCAUGGCUUGUUCGUGCUACAGUGUUGGGCAUUUACAAAAAUACGUCGGCGAUGUCGACGGGUCGAGUGAGGCAAAGCAAGGCGGACGUCAAGGGCGUCAUGUGGUCUUAGUACGCGUGCUGCGUGGGCGCUUGAUGCAAUGCAUGGCUCGUCCAUGCUACGCCGUUGGGCGUCUACAAAAAUUUGCUAGCGACGUUUGUGGGGCAGCUGAGGCAUAGGAUGGCGAACUUCAAGGGUGUCCUGUGGGCUUAGUAGGCGUGCUGCAUGGGCGCUUGAUGGAAUGCAUGGAUCGUCCGUGCUACGCCGUUCAGCGUUUACAAAAACAAGCCCGCGACGUCCGCGGGGCAUUUGAGGCGGUGGCAGGCGGACGUCAUGGGCGUCCUAUGGGCUUAGUAGGUGUGUUGCGCGGGCGCUUGACGGCAUGCAUGGUUUGUCGGUGCUACGCCGUUGGGCGUCAACAAAAACAUGCCAGUGACGUCUGCGGGGCAACUGAGGCGAAAGCAUGUAGACAUCAAAGGCGUCAUGUGGGCUUAGUAGGCGUGUUGCNNNNNNNNNNNNNNNNNNNNGGGGCGACUGAGGCGUUACAAGGUGGACGUCAUGGGCGUCUUGUGGGCUUAGUAGGCAUGUUGCGUGGGCGCUUGACGACAUGCAUGGCUCGUCCGUGAUAUGCCUUUGGGCGCUUACAAAAACAUGCGAGCGACAUCUGCGGGGCCACCAUGCGCCGCCGAGUGAACUUCUCAGGUUUAUAAUGGCAUUUGGUGUGGAAACGGAAGUGCUUUCGGCGAGUGGCGAGUUCUUGAGCUCUUGUUACGGCUAACUCUACGCGCCACAUGCACAGCGCACGUAAGGGCAUGUAUUGAUAGGGGCCUGUCCGGAGAUGUCGGCGGGAGCCUCGAAAAGAGUUAUCUUUUCUGUUUAACAGCCUGCCUACCCUGGAAUCGGCUCAGCCUGAGGUAGGGUCCAGCGGCUCGAAGAGCACUGCACAUCGCAUGGUGUCCGAUACACUCCCGGCGGCCCUUGAAAAUCCGGAGGACCGAAUGUCGUCCAUGCCCGGUCGUACUCAUAACCGCAUCAGGUCUCCAAGGUGAUCAACCUCUGGUC